GCCAAUUCCGACACAGUCACGAAAAAUGACGAAAUUGGCCCCGGCACGAUUUUUGUUUUCGAUCAACAAAUCAAAUUUCAGCCAACUCCGACACAGUCGCGAAAAAUGACGAAAUUACACCCGAUACGGUUUUUGUUCCCGAUAAACCUGUCAAAUUUGAGCCGAUUCCGUCAUAGUCGAGAAAAAUGACAAAAUUGCC
rnacentral:lncRNA from 1 species